GCAAACUUGGUCAUUUAGAGGAAGUAAAAGUCGUAACAAGGUUUCCGUAGGUGAACCUGCGGAAGGAUCAUUAAUGAAUUUGAAUCGCCUUUUGGUCGUGCUGGCUUUGCAAGUGCACACUAAUUGGUUUCAUCCAACACCCUUGUGCACCUUUGGCCUCGCGUUGUAAUGUGCCUCGGUCUUUUAGGCCUUGGUGCGGAUCGCGCGAGGAUAUUACACAAAAUCGUAUGUAACAGAAUGUAGAUCUAGUGCGUAAGCACGAAAUGUACAACUUUCAACAACGGAUCUCUUGGCUCUCGCAUCGAUGAAGAACGCAGC
rnacentral:misc_RNA from 1 species